GGGACACGUGGUAUCCUGUCUGAAUAUGGGGGGACCAUCCUCCAAGGCUAAAUACUCCUGACUGACCGAUAGUGAACCAGUACCGUGAGGGAAAGGCGAAAAGAACCCCGGCGAGGGGAGUGAAAAAGAACCUGAAACCGUGUACGUACAAGCAGUGGGAGCACGCUUAGGCGUGUGACUGCGUACCUUUUGUAUAAUGGGUCAGCGACUUAUAUUCUGUAGCAAGGUUAACCGAAUAGGGGAGCCGAAGGGAAACCGAGUCUUAACUGGGCGUUAAGUUGCAGGGUAUAGACCCGAAACCCGGUGAUCUAGCCAUGGGCAGGUUGAAGGUUGGGUAACACUAACUGGAGGACCGAACCGACUAAUGUUGAAAAAUUAGCGGAUGACUUGUGGCUGGGGGUGAAAGGCCAAUCAAACCGGGAGAUAGCUGGUUCUCCCCGAAAGCUAUUUAGGUAGCGCCUCGUGAAUUCAUCUCCGGGGGUAGAGCACUGUUUCGGCAAGGGGGUCAUCCCGACUUACCAACCCGAUGCAAACUGCGAAUACCGGAGAAUGUUAUCACGGGAGACACACGGCGGGUGCUAACGUCCGUCGUGAAGAGGGAAACAACCCAGACCGCCAGCUAAGGUCCCAAAGUCAUGGUUAAGUGGGAAACGAUGUGGGAAGGCCCAGACAGCCAGGAUGUUGGCUUAGAAGCAGCCAUCAUUUAAAGAAAGCGUAAUAGCUCACUGGUCGAGUCGGCCUGCGCGGAAGAUGUAACGGGGCUAAACCAUGCACCGAAGCUGCGGCAGCGACGCUUAUGCGUUGUUGGGUAGGGGAGCGUUCUGUAAGCCUGUGAAGGUGUGCUGUGAGGCAUGCUGGAGGUAUCAGAAGUGCGAAUGCUGACAUAAGUAACGAUAAAGCGGGUGAAAAGCCCGCUCGCCGGAAGACCAAGGGUUCCUGUCCAACGUUAAUCGGGGCAGGGUGAGUCGACCCCUAAGGCGAGGCCGAAAGGCGUAGUCGAUGGGAAACAGGUUAAUAUUCCUGUACUUGGUGUUACUGCGAAGGGGGGACGGAGAAGGCUAUGUUGGCCGGGCGACGGUUGUCCCGGUUUAAGCGUGUAGGCUGGUUUUCCAGGCAAAUCCGGAAAAUCAAGGCUGAGGCGUGAUGACGAGGCACUACGGUGCUGAAGCAACAAAUGCCCUGCUUCCAGGAAAAGCCUCUAAGCAUCAGGUAACAUCAAAUCGUACCCCAAACCGACACAGGUGGUCAGGUAGAGAAUACCAAGGCGCUUGAGAGAACUCGGGUGAAGGAACUAGGCAAAAUGGUGCCGUAACUUCGGGAGAAGGCACGCUGAUAUGUAGGUGAAGCGACUUGCUCGUGGAGCUGAAAUCAGUCGAAGAUACCAGCUGGCUGCAACUGUUUAUUAAAAACACAGCACUGUGCAAACACGAAAGUGGACGUAUACGGUGUGACGCCUGCCCGGUGCCGGAAGGUUAAUUGAUGGGGUCAGCGCAAGCGAAGCUCUUGAUCGAAGCCCCGGUAAACGGCGGCCGUAACUAUAACGGUCCUAAGGUAGCGAAAUUCCUUGUCGGGUAAGUUCCGACCUGCACGAAUGGCGUAAUGAUGGCCAGGCUGUCUCCACCCGAGACUCAGUGAAAUUGAACUCGCUGUGAAGAUGCAGUGUACCCGCGGCAAGACGGAAAGACCCCGUGAACCUUUACUAUAGCUUGACACUGAACAUUGAGCCUUGAUGUGUAGGAUAGGUGGGAGGCUUAGAAGUGUGGACGCCAGUCUGCAUGGAGCCGACCUUGAAAUACCACCCUUUAAUGUUUGAUGUUCUAACGUUGACCCGUAAUCCGGGUUGCGGACAGUGUCUGGUGGGUAGUUUGACUGGGGCGGUCUCCUCCUAAAGAGUAACGGAGGAGCACGAAGGUUGGCUAAUCCUGGUCGGACAUCAGGAGGUUAGUGCAAUGGCAUAAGCCAGCUUGACUGCGAGCGUGACGGCGCGAGCAGGUGCGAAAGCAGGUCAUAGUGAUCCGGUGGUUCUGAAUGGAAGGGCCAUCGCUCAACGGAUAAAAGGUACUCCGGGGAUAACAGGCUGAUACCGCCCAAGAGUUCAUAUCGACGGCGGUGUUUGGCACCUCGAUGUCGGCUCAUCACAUCCUGGGGCUGAAGUAGGUCCCAAGGGUAUGGCUGUUCGCCAUUUAAAGUGGUACGCGAGCUGGGUUUAGAACGUCGUGAGACAGUUCGGUCCCUAUCUGCCGUGGGCGCUGGAGAACUGAGGGGGGCUGCUCCUAGUACGAGAGGACCGGAGUGGACGCAUCACUGGUGUUCGGGUUGUCAUGCCAAUGGCACUGCCCGGUAGCUAAAUGCGGAAGAGAUAAGUGCUGAAAGCAUCUAAGCACGAAACUUGCCCCGAGAUGAGUUCUCCCUGACUCCU
rnacentral:rRNA from 1 species